rnacentral:rRNA from 2 species
AGAAAGAGCGUUCCCUUUGGGGGGACAGAGUGACAGGUGGUGCAUGGUUGUCGUCAGCUCGUGUCGUGAGAUGUUGGGUUAAGUCCCGCAACGAGCGCAAACCCUUGAUCUUAGUUGCCAGCAUUCAGUUGGGCACUCUAAGGUGACUGCCGGUGACAAACCGGAGGAAGGUGGGGAUGACGUCAAAUCAUCAUGCCCCUUAUGACCUGGGCUACACACGUGCUACAAUGGAUGGUACAAAGGGCUGCAAGACCGCGAGGUCAAGCCAAUCCCAUAAAACCAUUCUCAGUUCGGAUUGUAGGCUGCAACUCGCCUACAUGAAGCUGGAAUCGCUAGUAAUCGCGGAUCAGCAUGCCGCGGUGAAUACGUUCCCGGGCCUUGUACACACCGCCCGUCACACCACGAGAGUUUGUAACACCCGAAGUCGGUGGAGUAACCGUAAGG